rnacentral:lncRNA from 1 species
CGGCCUCAGUGGGUGGGCUUCACCCUAGAAGCCAACUGUUAUACCUUCCAUAGCUCUCUGUCUUAGCAUGCCCUAAUAUGAGAACUUGUCAUCAGUUGUUUUCUCUCACUAGAAUUAAUUGGCGACUGUUUUAUUGCUAGCUAGCUACAGAUUACCUUGCCAAGAUGUAAAGUUUGGUUUGACACAGAAUAAGUGGUCGGACGUUUACUUCAAAAAGUCCUAAGUAGCUAUAGCUAGCUAGCUAGCUCCCCCAUGAUCCAGC